rnacentral:misc_RNA from 1 species
CGGGCGACGCCACCUUGAGCGCGGAUAUCGGCUGGCACACGCUCCAAAGCCAUGACAGCACAAGCGCCAGCCUCCUCGGCUAUGCGGGCCUGCUCGGGAUUUACGACGUCCAUGAUAACACCGCCUCUUAGCAUCUGGGCUAGACCCACCUUCACGGAAAAGGGGGACUUUUUGGUUUCGGUGAUUGCUCCGUUGCCGUAAACUGCCACCACCCCAGUUCCAGCCAUUUCUAAAUACUGUAGAAGGAGAAAGCGCAGAGGAAGAAAGAGAUUAAUGGGUUAUCAUGGAC